CAAAUGACUCUCGGCAAUGGAUAUCUCGGCUCUUGCAUCGAUGAAGAACGUAGUGAAAUGCGAUACUUGGUGUGAAUUGCAGAAUCUCGUGAACCAUUGAGUCUUUGAACGCAAGUUGUGCCCGAGGCCUCGUGGCCGAGGGCACGCCUGCUUGGGCGUCAUGG
rnacentral:rRNA from 1 species